GUGAGGGAAAGGUGAAAAGCACCCCGGAAGGGGAGUGAAAGAGAACCUGAAACCGUGUGCCUACAAGUAGUUAGAGCUCUAUGCUUUAUGCAGAGUGAUAGCGUGCC
rnacentral:rRNA from 1 species